GAUGAAGAACGCAGCGAAAUGCGAUAAGUAAUGUGAAUUGCAGAAUUCAGUGAAUCAUCGAAUCUUUGAACGCACCUUGCACCCUUUGGUAUUCCGAAGGGUAUGCUCGUUUGAGUGUCAUUGUACUCUCACACUUCUAAUUCCUUUCGGGAUUGGGAGCGGUGGACUUGGGUGUUGCUGCUUUAGUUGUGGCUCACCUCAAAUAAGUUAGUGCAACUCUUGGUUGGACAUAGUACGGCGUGAUAAGUGUCUUCGCCGGCGCCUCUGUAAGGAGGGUGGCCGAUCGGGAGCUCUGUGCUUCAAACCGUCUUCGGACAAUCUUUGACAACUUGACCUCAAAUCGAGUAGGACUAUCCGCUGAACUUAAGCAUAUCAAUAAGCGGAGGA
rnacentral:misc_RNA from 1 species